GGGUUUUUAGCUCAGUGGUUAGAGCUUAGGUCUCGUCACCGGAAGGUCCCGGAAUCAAAUCCCGCUAGAGGCA
rnacentral:tRNA from 1 species